rnacentral:rRNA from 1 species
GCAGCGUCCACACGAAUACCUCCUUCUAAAAAAACACCAGCCAUAUAUUCCUGGGUCUUGGGCGGCCGCUCUCCGUCGCGCUAACUCCGCCGCCGCCGCAGUGCUGCCAGUCAUCUUCCCUUCGCAGGACUGAUUCUGGCGCGCCGGUGUGACGGAGAGGCGAGGCGGCACAGGGCAGGGUGUGGAUUGAAUCUGGCGCCAUCGUCCGUCCCCGAUUCGCCCUCACCGCAGGCAGGGCAGGGCGGCAGGACCAUCAUAUAAUAAAUUCAAGGCUCGAUCUUUCUGCCGAAACUCUUCAAGGACGCUUGAUUGGUGAACACAGAGGCCGAGCUGCAGCAGGAGGAGGAUUAGAUAGAUUACUCUGUUAUUACUAUUAGGUCUUCUGUCAAAUCGCAGUGGGGAUGUCUAAUAAGCGCCGGGGAUAUGCCGGCGACGGCGGUGAAAAGAGGUCGCGGCGGUUCAAGCAUCUACCUCGUGUUGGAUGACUGGACCAAGGGGUACAGCAUCCACAAGAUCCAAGCCGACAGCUUCGACUCUGACUCUGACUCUGGCUCUGAUGACCAGCACAGCGGCGCUGCCCGGCACCUCCCGGAGCCUCCGACCCUGCGGUUAGAGUGCCCGGUUGGCACUGUACCCCAUCCCGGCAUGUCGUUCUCUGCCUUGGGCACCAAGAUCUUCACCUUCAUGAACCAGCGAUGCAGCCUCAUCUACGACACCAAGACGGCUGCAAUGACGAUUGGCGCCCAUGCCCCUGCUGACAUGGUCUGUGGCUUCGGCAUCACCAUGGUCGUUGAUGAGAUGCUCCAUGCAUUAUCUUACCACUUCCGCGUGAAACAACACUCCUUUGGGUUCAUGUCAUGGGGGUCCACCGCGCCGGAUGCGCUGCAACAACCAACCGAGGGCUGGUCCUGGAAGACUCUGCCGCCACCACCGCCAACGUUCCACCGUCGAGUCAACUCCUAUGCACUACACCCGGAUGGAUGCACCAUCUUUAUGUCCACAGCUAACUUCAUGACGGCACCUAGCAAAGGUUGCAUGGGCACUACUCAUUCAACACCAAGGAUUCUGUGUGGAGAUGGCAUGGGGAGUGGGCCUUGCCAUUCAGCGGCCAAGCACACUUUGACAGGGAGCUCAACGCCUGGGUUGGCCUUCAUCGGGAUGGCUACAUCUCUGUUGCCAAGUUGCCUCCCCCAGCUGCCACAGCACGACUCCAACGUUGCAGCUGGACUGCCAGACAACCAAGGAGAAGUUGUUCUGCAAGGACCGGAAGCCACACAUGGGAGUCUCUCUCAGCUAUGUGGGCAUGAGCAAGUUCUGCCUCGUCCAACGCGUGGAACGGGAGGGACUGGAGGAGGCACUGGCUCGGGGAGACUAUGCCGGCUGUGUGCUCCAUAUCACCUUAUUUGGCCUCAAGUUCAAUCACAAGGGAGAGCUGCAGAUCACAGAUCACCGCUCCACGCGCUCCUUCAUAGUGUCUAGGCAUAAAGAUCACUUUAUGCCUGUAGCAUUUUGGAUGUAGAAACCAGUUUGGCUUGUUCCAAAAUCCUUGCUUGACUGUCACUGGUUCAUGUUGUGCUUUGUCCUCCUAGAAAGUGGAAUCAAUAAAAAGUUCUGUUUGCUUGGAAGUUGUGCGUUACUUGAUCCG